rnacentral:rRNA from 1 species
GAUGAACGCUAGCGGCAGGCUUAAUACAUGCAAGUCGAGGGGCAGCAUGAUUGUAGCAAUACAAUUGAUGGCGACCGGCAAACGGGUGCGGAACACGUACACAACCUUCCAAUAAGUGGGGGAUAACCCAGAGAAAUUUGGAUUAAUACCCCGUAACAUAGCGAUGUGGCAUCACAUUGCUAUUAUAGAUUUUUCGCUUGUUGAUGGGUGUGCGGCUGAUUAGAUAGUUGGCGGGGUAACGGCCCACCAAGUCUACGAUCAGUAGCUGAUGUGAGAGCAUGAUCAGCCACACGGGCACUGAGACACGGGCCCGACUCCUACGGGGGGCAGCAGUAAGGAAUAUUGGACAAUGGACGCAAGUCUGAUCCAGCCAUGCCGCGUGAAGGAUUAAGGUCCUCUGGAUUGUAAACUUCUUUUAUCUGGGACGAAAAAAGGCGAUUCUUCGUCACUUGACGGUACCAGAUGAAUAAGCACCGGCUAACUCCGUGCCAGCAGCCGCCGUAAUAC